UACAGAGGGCGCAAGCGUUGUUCGGAUUCAUUGGGCGUAAAGGGUGCGUAGGCGGCCCGCUAAGUCGGGUGUGAAAUUUCGGAGCUUAACUCCGAAACUGCAUUCGAUACUGGCGUGCUUGAGGACUGGAGAGGAGACUGGAAUUCAUGGUGUAGCAGUGAAAUGCGUAGAGAUCAUGAGGAAGACCAGUGGCGAAGGCGGGUCUCUGGACAGUUACUGACACUGAGACACGAAGGCCAGGGGAGCAAACGGG
rnacentral:rRNA from 1 species